GACGUUAUAUUUUCAUCGACUGCAUCGACUGUAGACACUCAGGAGGCCUGAUCAAUCGAUUUUACUUUAUACGAGCGACGACACCCACUGAAUACAGCUAUGUCAAAAGGUAUACCUAUGGGCCAGCCCGCGCCAGUUGUGUGGAUGCCCAAGCCAGCCGGGAUCCCAGGAUGCCCCCAGGGCCUUGAGUACCUCACUCAGAUUGACCAGAUACUCGUGAAGCAAAAGAUCGACCUGC